CAGUAGCCGCGGGAAAACGGAGGGUGCAAGCGUUAAUCGGAAUUACUGGGCGUAAAGCGCACGCAGGCGGUCUGACAAGUCAGAUGUGAAAUCCCCGGGCUUAACCUGGGAACUGCAUUUGAAACUGUCAGGCUGGAGUCUUGUAGAGGGGGGUAGAAUUCCAGGUGUAGCGGUGAAAUGCGUAGAGAUCUGGAGGAAUACCGGUGGCGAAGGCGGCCCCCUGGACAAAGACUGACGCUCAGGUGCGAAAGCGUGGGGAGCAAACAGGAUUAGAUACCCCUGUAGUCCCUGUCUCUUAUAA
rnacentral:rRNA from 1 species